rnacentral:lncRNA from 1 species
AUGAUACAUCUUCAGGUAGUCAUCUCAAGCUACAUACGGCUCUUGACAGAUGCUGUAGCUUCUUAUCUACAAGAAAGUGGAGUGAUGAGUGAGCCUGCCAUGCCAUGCUGUCUCUACUCAGUGGCUAAUGAAACUGUCAUGACCACAUAUUGGGAGCAAGUAACAUGUUUUGUAUUUCAGUUCCAAGAUUUAAUUGUAUGGACAAAUGGAUAGUAUGUCAACUUCCACAAACAUUGGUUCUUUAAGGUGAGGGGGUUCCUCUUGAAAGGUAAUGUAUUUUUGACUAUGGAGAAUGCAGUCAAAACUGACAGUGGCCUCUAUUUUUGCAUCAUUGAGCACAAGCAGUGAUUGAAUGACAUAAAAAGCACCCUAUAAUUGGAUAUUAAACCAGCUGGGAUACCAGUGUUCUAACAUCACCUGGGCUCUCUACCUCUGGUCAAAUGUACCUUAGAGUCACAAGCCAGUAGUUACUUCGUUAAUACAGCCAGCUAAACCCACCUGAAGACAGUGUAGAAAAGAAAAGGACACAACCCACCAUCUCCCUACUGCACUCUUACCCAACAGAUGGAAAUGGAACUAUGACAGUCUUCAAAUGUCCCUUGGAAUAGUAAUCAAACUCAAGUGUCCUUGACUCAAAACAUUUGUAGAUGAUCACCACUGAGAACUUUUAUGUUGAAGUCAGUAAAUCUGCUGUGGUGCUGCUCAUUUUUUUGGUUGUCAUGACUACCAAAAAGUAUGUAUACACCAGACAACCUCUAGCAACUAAAUAUAGUUUCACUGACUAGUCCUUAAAUUGGAGCUUUACAAAGUGCAGCUGAAGGGCAUGUCUCCGCAGAAGACAAUACCUACAUUAGAGGAGAAGCUUUACUUCAUAGAUUAAG